AUUAUUUUUUUCUUUUUUCGCAAAUAUAAUAUGAGAUGACAAAUUUUUAUUAACUAUUAUUUUAGUGGUUCACUGAACUCAGCAAAAAACUUAUAAAUCUAUGCUUGUAGACAGGUUGCAACUUUUAUAUAUAUUAGAUAUCAUCAAAUUAAACACAGCAUUUCCAAUAACAAAUACAAUUAUUAAUUUGCCAAGUUCCUAGCCUCUUUGACAUAUAAAUUUUGAAUUCAAUCAACUGAUCAAUAACAUCCGGAUGCUAAAUACAAGCGUACCAAAAUCAUAUAACCAAUCGUAUGGUUUUAAUAUUCUUUAAUUCGUUGUAAAGUGCAUGCAGUGAU
rnacentral:lncRNA from 1 species